AAAGGCAGGGAUUGGUCUACCGUCUAACUUAGUAUUUUAUGGCUGAUAAGUUUGUUUACUUAAAAUAAUUGUUCCAUUUUAAUUUUAUAGUAUAUUAUAAUUGAUAUCAAAUGUGUCUUGAAAUUAUUUGUCAAAUUUAGACUAUUGAUAUGACAGUGACUAAUAUCAAAUGCACACAUUUUGGUUAAUUUAAGUUAAUAUAUAAUGUAAAUAAAUUUGAUACUUUGCAGGCUGUACAGAAGCAUGUCGGAGAGUUUGGUCUGGCCAGAACAUACAGAGAACGCCAGUCAGUACACAGUCUGAUACUGAUAUCAUAAUGAUAAUGAUGAUGAUGAUAAUAAUGGUGAUGAUGACUAUUUGAACAACCAGAGUCAAGCAUGCCUGCUGGGGCCAUUUUACCAAUAGGUGGCACCGAAAACUGAACACAAAGGCCGGCAGAGGAAAGGUCAAGACCUACCGCCUUCUGGAGAUCCUCCUUGUAGAAUCUAAGUUGGUGAAUCUAGAAGUGACCAGACUUCUUGAAGGAAGUACAUCCCGUCGAUGUCGUCUCAGUGACGAAUGGUUGUUUGAUUUAUGGGAUCAAUAUGAUAACCAUGACAUUGUGUGUGAAGAAUUCCUUGGAAAUGUGGGAACGUACUAUGGACAGUUUUAGGUGAUAAGGAGAUGUACUGUGACCAACAUGAACUGUGCCACUGUGUCUGAUGAAAUUUGAAACUUGCCCAAUUGAGUUGUGAUAGGUGUAUUAUAUAUUUGCUAUAAUGCUUGCUAUGUGAAUAAGUCAUGUAAAUAAAUGUAUUGUUUUUUCAUGUGAUUUAUGAAUAUCUAAAUAAACUAGUAAACAUC